ACUGGGUUAUAACUCUCGAAACAACCGGCUGGGUCGUUACAUUUGACUAAUGUCCAAUAAUAUAUUUUUUUAACAUAUUACAGCCUAUCAUGACAAUAUAUGUGCAUGUUUCUAAUAAUACUGAACCUACAGCUGAUGUAGUUUCAAGUUCGCAUCCAGGUAAGUUAUUUCAUUCGUUAAAAUUUUAGCCCUUUAAAAUCUCUUGCUUGUAUAGGUUUAAUUUGCUAUAUACCUAAAUAUUUUCCUAUGUGGCUGAAGGAAAAAAGAUAAAGGGAAGGGGGAAGACAACAUGGUUUUCAGUUCAAAAGAAACAGAAAGACAUUGACAAUGAAAAGUUGAAGGUGAUUAUUCCACCGGAUAGAACAGUAGCAGUAGGCCCUGGAGCUAAAGAUUUUGUUACCGAGCUCUCAGUCAAAGUUCUCCUCCAUGCUAGGCAUGAUGUCAAGAAAUGGAAGGAUGUCCCUAAUCUAGCAAAAGAUAGAAUUGUUGCUCAUAUGCUGGCUCCACGAUCAUUUCAAUAAAUUUGCUACGAAGGAGGAAAGCUUGCAUAACAUGCCAGCAGAGGUUAAUGAAGCUGAAUGGAAUUUCUUAGGGGACUUUUUCAGUUCUGAUGCUUUUAAGCAAAUGAGUUGCACGAAAUAAAACUAAUAAGGAAAAAUAAGAAAUGAAUCAUAUUUGUGGCAGAAAGUCCUUCCAAGCAGUAUCUUAUGAUGCGAUUUGGAGAAUUUGGAGGCCGAGUCCAGAGGCAAGAUC